GUCUCGGUAGUGUAAGGGAUUGAGCACGGUGCUCGGAAAGCACAAGUACGGGUUCGAGUCCCGUCCGAGACU
rfam:Haemonchus placei strain MHpl1 genome assembly, scaffold: HPLM_scaffold0001280